ACGAGCGAGGCCGCCCGCCCUCGAGCAAGAACCACUCGCACGCACGACUCGCUCAGCAAAUCGUGCGCCGCCGCCCUCCAUCCUUCGCCACCGCCGAUCCAUCCCUUCGCCGCCGCCGCUCCAUCCCUUCGCCGCCGACCUCGCACAUCAAAGCCGCCGCCGCUCCAUCCCUUCGCCGCCGCCCUCGCACAUCGAAGCCGCCGCCCACGAUCCAGGAGACGCCGUCGAUCCCGUUGAGGACCUGCUGCCCAUCAUGUCGAGGAUCCGAAGACGAUCCCCUUCAGGAGCCUUCCCGAUCCUUCUCCACACGCCACCGCCUCCCUUGCGAAGACGCCUUGCCAUGGAUCUCAAUCGGCGCUACGACGGCCGUGGCCUCCCCACCCGCCGACGUUCCAGAUCCGGCCAUCGUUGACCCCCUCCACAUCAGUGAUUGGUCAAGGUAGGGGUGUGUGGCUCUAUCCAUCUUCCUGCGUGUACGGCGUCCGUGUAUCCCGGGCAAGGGUGCUUGUGAGAUCGGGAGGCGAUCAAAAGGAGGAAGAGGAAAUCCAUGGUUGGGGAUACAUUCAACGACCUAGGCAUCAUCCUCCCUGACGUCCUAUACUCGAAGCCCGCAGCCAUUGCCUUCUCAAUCUACGUUAGUCAGCAGCAGCAAGGUCAGGCCCCACUAUAUUUUCUUGAGAUCUUGCAUCGCCAUGGUGACUCCACAAAAUUUGUACAUCCAUUGCCGACGUUGGUAUUUAUUCAGCAGAGAAUUAACAACAGUAGACCAAAGCAAAGGGGGGUCAGCCUGAAUGGGACGUAUCCCCUUCCAGAGGACUCGCCCUAGCUAGCCUGCAUGGUACCUUUCAUUAGCACUUCUCCCAGUAAGUUUGCAAAUUUUGGAUCCACCACUUUUGAAUCAUGCUUGGUGUGUGCUGACGGUGCACGAGGAACGUGACGGUUUUUCUCUGAAUCAUGCCAUAGUUCUCUCAAUAUUGUACGUGUUGUUCUCUCAGCAUUGUACGUGUUGUUCUCUGCAUGAUGUGUGGUGGAUGGGGAUGCGGAGGCGACGACUGGCGGCUGUUCUAUUUACACCUGACAUGGGGUUGAGAGGCUAGGGAGCAGGCGAUUUUGCACUCGUAUUUGGUCGGCAAUGGAGAUGAAUUUGUGAGAGAUGUGGCUGGGAGUUGCACCGGUCAUUUUUCUGCCCUCUCUAUGUUAUCCCUUUGCACUAAUCGGUAAUUGCUUUUUGACCAGGGGAUAGGGUAGCGUACACGAACAGCAAAAUUGUAGAAACGAGGAGGACAAUCUGAGUGACCAACAUUAUGUGGAGUAUUGAGAUGCAGAUCCAUCUUCACCGACAGCACGCGCUUGUCUGUGACCUCCCACCAGCAGCGCCUUGAGGUCACCCACACAAGCGACAAAGCAAUUCCACGCUGUCACCCUCUGCUACUUCGCCAACGACAUCGAGGAGGUCGUGGGUGAGAGCUACUGUCCUCCCUGGAGAACAUGCUCGUGCCCCAUGCGUACGAAGAAGAGCUAAGACACUCGCAUGGGUGCUCAAGGAAAUAAACCAGAUUGAGCGAGCUUUAAUGUGACAGAGGAUCAUGGUGGUCGAUGGAUUGUGCACCCGGUAGUAGACUAAGAAAGGAACAUUAUUUAUGGAACACAAUGAUAUUCAGAGCAGCCCUGCACUAUGUGAGAUUUAGAAGUUGGUACUGCCGGCAGAUGCAUCCAUGUGCUAAUCUCCUGGCACCGCGUAGACGGAGCCAAACGAGUUGGGGCCUCCAGCCGGCUGGUAGUGGACAACAACACCGGGUUUGCUAAUUACUCAACAAGUCACAGAUUGAUCUCUUUUUUGAUUGGUUUGGUGUGGAUUAUCAGGCCUGCCGCGCAAUCAUAGAUUUAUCUUUUGAUUUAUGUGGGUGGACAGAAACACCCUUUCUAAAGUUUUCUAGGGAUUGUAAUGAAGCACAGUAACACACUCCAGCAUUCGUUCUUUGCUUGAUAUUAGCAAACAAUGUAAAAUAACCAAGCUCACAACAUUCUAAAGCGGUCUAUUAGCUACUUCAGCAGACAACAGACAGAAAGAAGUAAGCAGUAUUUGAUUUGCUCA